AUCUAAUAUAUUACAAUUUUUAAUCAAAACAUUCUCAUUCUAGUAUGGGUGACAGAACAAUAACCUCAGCGCAAUAGCUUAUGUACCGCAAGGGAAAGCUGAAAAAGAAAUGAAACAAAUCAUUAAAGUACUAAAAAGCAGAGAUUAUACCUCGUACCUUUUGCAUCAUGAUUUAGCUAGAAAAACUAGGCAAAAAGACCUUAAGUCUAUCUCCCCGAAACUAAACGAGCUACUCCGAAGCAGCAUUACGAGCCAACCCGUCUCUGUGGCAAAAGAGUGGGUGAAAAGCCUACCGAGUUUAGUGAUAGCUGGUUACCCAAGAAAAGAACUUCAGUUCUGCAUUAAUUUUUCUAUCUAAACAAGACUUACUCGUCAAAAAAUCUAUAAGAAUUAAUAGUUAUUUAGAAGAGGUACAACCCUUCUAAACCAAGACACAACUUUUUAAGGUGGGAAAUGAUCAUAAUUAUUAAGGUUACCAUCUCAGUGGGCCUAAAAGCAGCCAUCUGUCAAGCAAGCGUCGCAGCUCUAAUAACCUCUAAUUCAGAUAUCCAUUCAUAACCCCCUUAUUUUAUAUUAAAGAACUUAUGCUAAAAUGAGUAAUAAGAGAACAAAUCUCUCCCGACACAAGUGUAUGUCAGAAGAAUUAAAUCACUGAUAAUUAAACGACCCCAAACUGAGGUCAUUAACUAGAAAAUCCUAUUCUCU
rnacentral:rRNA from 1 species